rnacentral:rRNA from 1 species
UACGUAGGGUGCGAGCGUUGUCCGGAAUUAUUGGGCGUAAAGGCUCGUAGGCGGUCUGUUGCGUCAGGAGUGAAAACUCGGGGCUUAACCCCGAGCCUGCUUCUGAUACGGGCAGACUAGAGGUAUGCAGGGGAGAACGGAAUUCCCGGUGUAGCGGUGAAAUGCGCAGAUAUCAGGAAGAACACCCGUGGCUAAGGCGGCUCUCUAGUACGGUACUGACGCUGAGACGCGAAAGCGUGGGGAGCGAACAGG